rnacentral:rRNA from 1 species
GACGAACGCUGGCGGCGUGCUUAACACAUGCAAGUCGAACGAUGAAGCACUUUCGGGUGUGGAUUAGUGGCGAACGGGUGAGUAACACGUGGGUAAUCUGCCCUGUACUCUGGGAUAAGCCCGGGAAACUGGGUCUAAUACCGGAUAUGACCAUUCAUCGCAUGGUGGGUGGUGGAAAGUUCCGGCGGUGCAGGAUGAACCCGCGGCCUAUCAGCUUGUUGGUGGGGUGAUGGCCUACCAAGGCGACGACGGGUAGCCGGCCUGAGAGGGCGACCGGUCACACUGGGACUGAGACACGGCCCAGACUCCUACGGGAGGCAGCAGUGGGGAAUAUUGCGCAAUGGGCGAAAGCCUGACGCAGCGACGCCGCGUGAGGGAUGACGGCCUUCGGGUUGUAAACCUCUUUCGCACGGGACGAAGCGAGAGUGACGGUACCGUGAGAAGAAGCACCGGCUAACUACGUGCCAGCCGCCGCCGUAACAC